GGUUAUUCGGCGGCCCGCGGCGGACCAUGGCCCUGGCCCUGGCCCGGCGUCGCUGGGCUUUCCUCACGGCGUCCCCGAGCAGCGUCGCAGAGCGGGCCGACUUCCGGGAAGGAACUGACCAGCGACUGAGCGGCGGCCGGCGCGCUUAGCGCCCUGAACAUGCGGCAGUCCCUGCGGGCGACCCCGGGCUCCGGACAGGCGGCGGCGGAGGCGGCGGCUCGGGAGGGAAGGAGGCGGCGGCGCCGGCGGAGGUGGCGGCGGAGACGGCCGGCGCCCGGCGCGGAGCCCUAGGGAGGCAGUUCAGCGCGGCCUCGGGCCUCGUCGAGAAGGAUGCUGUCCCGAAAGAAAACCAAAAACGAAGUGUCCAAGCCGGCCGAGGUGCAGGGGAAGUACGUGAAGAAGGAGACGUCGCCUCUGCUUCGGAAUGCGUCGAGAUGUGCGUCAUGUUUGCAAACAUUGCGGGUGUCUCUCGACUGUGCUGCAAGUUGUGCGAACUCUGGGGCAGAAUUCCUUAGUCCUGCUGCCGGAUGCAGACUUGAGAAGAUCUUAUGCCUUCAUUCAU
rnacentral:lncRNA from 10 species